rnacentral:rRNA from 1 species
UGGGGAAUAUUGCACAAUGGGCGCAAGCCUGAUGCAGCCAUGCCGCGUGUGUGAAGAAGGCCUUCGGGUUGUAAAGCACUUUCAGCGAGGAGGAAGGCGGUGAGCUUAAUACGCUCAUCAAUUGACGUUACUCGCAGAAGAAGCACCGGCUAACUCCGUGCCAGCAGCCGCGGUAAUACGGAGGGUGCAAGCGUUAAUCGGAAUUACUGGGCGUAAAGCGCACGCAGGCGGUUUGUUAAGUCAGAUGUGAAAUCCCCGGGCUCAGCCUGGGAACUGCAUUUGAAACUGGCAAGCUAGAGUCUCGUAGAGGGGGGUAGAAUUCCAGGUGUAGCGGUGAAAUGCGUAGAGAUCUGGAGGAAUACCGUGGCGAAGGCGCCCCCUGANGAAGACUGACGCUCAGGUGCGAAAGCGUGGGGAGCAAAACAGGAUUAGAUACCCUGGUAGUCCACGCUGUAAACGAUGUCGAUUUGGAGGUUGUGCCCUUGAGGCGUGGCUUCCGGAGCUAACGCGUUAAAUCGACCGCCUGGGGAGUACGGUCGCAAGAUUAAAACUCAAAUGAAUUGACGGGGUCGAUAGC